CCGGCUGUUCCAUCAACCGUAACCUAAGGGUGCAUGCAUGGUUGGUAACGACC
rfam:Candidatus Burkholderia brachyanthoides strain TZHbot7 BRCHctg477, whole genome shotgun sequence.